rnacentral:rRNA from 1 species
UGGGGAAUAUUGGACAAUGGGGGCAACCCUGAUCCAGCAAUGCCGCGUGUGUGAAGAAGGCCUUCGGGUUGUAAAGCACUUUCAGUUGGGAGGAAGGGGAGUAUGUUAAUAGCAUAUUUCAUUGACGUUACCGACAGAAGAAGCACCGGCUAACUCUGUGCCAGCAGCCGCGGUAAUACAGAGGGUGCUAGCGUUAAUCGGAAUUACUGGGCGUAAAGCGUGUGUAGGUGGUUAGAUAAGUUAGAUGUGAAAACCCUGGGCUUAACCUGGGAACUGCGUUUAAGACUGUUUAGCUAGAGUACUGUAGAGGACAGUGGAAUUUCCAGUGUAGCGGUGAAAUGCGUAGAUAUUGGAAGGAACACCAGUGGCGAAGGCGACUGUCUGGAUAGAUACUGACACU